CGAAUAAGGGAAGCGCGGGCGGCCAGAUAGCGAGAGAGCAGAAGCCCGGAGCCCAGGGCCCAGCGCACCGCAGCACGCCACGGCCGCGGCGUGCCCGCCUGCAGCCAGCCGCCAGCAGCCGCUUUUCAUGUUGAUACGAGCAUCUCCAGUUGAGGCCAUUCUACAGCUUGAAUGUUAGUGGUACAGCGCACAUAAGAAAUUAUUUUCAUUUGGCCUCUCGAGAAUGAUGGAGUCAGUUUCAAACUUUCUAGCUCACAGAAGAUUGGAGGGGAACUACAUGAAUCGAGCUGGAAUCUCCAAGACAGCAACCACUAAUAUUUGUGUAACAUAGUGAGUGGAGCUGUGGAUGCUACAGAAUGGAGUGCCAAGUGUGGAAAGCGGAACAUUUGCGACAUAGUCUUCUGUUUGAGUUCAAGAGAGGGACGCAGGCAGAAAUAUUUGCUCAGUGUACGGGGAUAGCGCCACUGGACACA